rnacentral:misc_RNA from 1 species
CCGAGUUUACAACUCCCAAACCCCUGUGAACAUACCAAUUGUUGCCUCGGCGGAUCAGCCCCUCCCGGUAAAACGGGACGGCCCGCCAGAGGACCCCUAAACUCUGUUUCUAUAUGUAACUUCUGAGUAAAACCAUAAAUAAUCA